rnacentral:rRNA from 1 species
GAUGAACGCUGGCGGCGUGCCUAAUACAUGCAAGUCGAGCGAAUGGAAUAAGAGCUUGCUCUUAUGAAGUUAGGGGCGGACGGGUGAGUAACACGUGGGUAACCUGCCCAUAAGACUGGGAUAACUCCGGGAAACCGGGGCUAAUACCGGAUAACAUUUUGAACCGCAUGGUUCGAAAUUGAAAGGCGGCUUCGGCUGCCACUUACGGAUGGACCCGCGUCGCAUUAGCUAGUUGGUGAGGUAACGGCUAACCAAGGCAACGAUGCGUAGCCGACCUGAGAGGGUGAUCGGCCACACUGGGACUGAGCCACGGCCCAGACUCCUACGGGAGGCAGCGGUAGGGAAUCUUCCGCAAUGGACGAAAGUCUGACGGAGCAACGCCGCGUGAGUGAUGAAGGCUUUCGGGUCGUAAAACUCUGUUGUUAGGGAAGAACAAGUGCUAGUUGAAUAAGCUGGCACCUUGACGGUACCUAACCAGAAAGCCACGGCUAACUACGUGCCAGCCGCCGCGGUAA